rnacentral:rRNA from 1 species
GCUUAACACAUGCAAGUCGAGCGGUAAGGCCCUUCGGGGUACACGAGCGGCGAACGGGUGAGUAACACGUGGGUGAUCUGCCUCGCACUCUGGGAUAAGCCUGGGAAACUGGGUCUAAUACCGGAUAUGACCACUGAUCGCAUGGUUGGUGGUGGAAAGAUUUAUCGGUGCGAGAUGGGCCCGCGGCCUAUCAGCUUGUUGGUGGGGUAAUGGCCUACCAAGGCGACGACGGGUAGCCGACCUGAGAGGGUGACCGGCCACACUGGGACUGAGACACGGCCCAGACUCCUACGGGAGGCAGCAGUGGGGAAUAUUGCACAAUGGGCGAAAGCCUGAUGCAGCGACGCCGCGUGAGGGAUGACGGCCUUCGGGUUGUAAACCUCUUUCGACAGGGACGAAGCGCAAGUGACGGUACCUGUAGAAGAAGCACCGGCCAACUACGUGCCAGCAGCCGCGGUAAUACGUAGGGUGCGAGCGUUGUCCGGAAUUACUGGGCGUAAAGAGCUUGUAGGCGGUUCGUCGCGUCGAUUGUGAAAACUUGCAGCUCAACUGCAAGCUUGCAGUCGAUACGGGCGGACUAGAGUACUUCAGGGGAGACUGGAAUUC